rnacentral:rRNA from 1 species
AGGUCAGUAGGUUGGUCGUGCCACCGGUACGUACUGGUCUCACUGAUUCCUCCUUCCUGAAGAACCGUAAUGCCAUUAAUUUGGUGUUGCGGGGAAACAGGACUGUUACUUUGAAAAAAUUAGAGUGUUUAAAGCAAGCUAACGCUUGAAUACGUUAGCAUGGAAUAAUGAAAUAGGACGAUCGAUCCUAUUUUGUUGGUUUCUAGGAUUGACGUA